rnacentral:rRNA from 1 species
GAUGAACGCUAGCGGCAGGCUUAACACAUGCAAGUCGAGGGGCAGCAUAAUGGUAGUAAUACUAUUGAUGGCGACCGGCGGACGGGUGCGUAACGCGUAUGCAACCUACCCUUUACAGGGGGAUAACACUGAGAAAUCGGUACUAAUACCCCAUAAUAUUCUGGGAGGCAUCUUUCGGAGUUGAAAGCUUUGGUGGUAAAGGAUGGGCAUGCGUUGUAUUAACUAGUUGGUAAGGUAACGGCUUACCAAGGCGACGAUACAUAGGGGGACUGAGAGGUUAACCCCCCACAUUGGUACUGAGACACGGACCAAACUCCUACGGGAGGCAGCAGUGAGGAAUAUUGGUCAAUGGACGGAAGUCUGAACCAGCCAUGCCGCGUGCAGGAAGACGGCUCUAUGAGUUGUAAACUGCUUUUGUACGAGGGUAAACGCAGAUACGUGUAUCUGCCUGAAAGUAUCGUACGAAUAAGGAUCGGCUAACUCCGUGCCAGCAGCCGCGGUAAUACGGAGGAUCCAAGCGUUAUCCGGAUUUAUUGGGUUUAAAGGGUGCGUAGGCGGUUUAGUAAGUCAGCGGUGAAAUUUUGGUGCUUAACACCAAACGUGCCGUUGAUACUGCUGGGCUAGAGAGUAGUUGCGGUAGGCGGAAUGUAUGGUGUAGCGGUGAAAUGCUUAGAGAUCAUACAGAACACCGAUUGCGAAGGCAGCUUACCAAACUAUAUCUGACGUUGAGGCACGAAAGCGUGGGGAGCAAACAGGAUUAGAUACCCUGGUAGUCCACGCAGUAAACGAUGAUAGCUCGUUGUCGGCGAUACACAGUCGGUGACUAAGAGAAAUCGAUAAGCUAUCCACCUGGGGAGUACGUUCGCAAGAAUGAAACUCAAAGGAAUUGACGGGGGCCCGCACAAGCGGAGGAACAUGUGGUUUAAUUCGAUGAUACGCGAGGAACCUUACCCGGGCUUGAAAGUUACUGACGAUUCUGGAAACAGGAUUUCCCUUCGGGGCAGGAAACUAGGUGCUGCAUGGUUGUCGUCAGCUCGUGCCGUGAGGUGUCGGGUUAAGUCCCAUAACGAGCGCAACCCCUACUGAUAGUUGCCAUCAG